ensembl:lncRNA
UCACUGAAUAUAGUGGCCUGUUAUAUAUUAAUGUAUAGUUCAAAAUAUGUAUUUCAUUUGCAGAGUAUGUGUUAUAUGUGUAUAUAUGUGUGCACACACAAGUAUUUUUUGUUUUUACAAAGGAAUUCACAGUAAUUUGUAAUAUCUCACCUUUUCAGAAAUCUUGGCCUUUCUGACCACUUUUUGCUUUGAGAAGAUCAGCUUUUUGAACCUUUCAAAUGGUUUCUCACUUCUUACAGUGGACGGGAACAUUUACGGUGGGAGAACAGAUGAAUGUUUUCCAGUCACUGAAGCCCAGCUCCUUGUUCAUUUGGCCAAUUGCUAAUAAAAGAGGAUGUCAAAGACUGAAGUUUUCGUAUCUUAAAGUUAAAAAUGCAGUCGAGCUCCUGAAGACCUGAUGUGGAUGCUUAGAACUUUUCCAACUAGAAUUCCCAACACCUCUUCUUUCUUCUUUAGAGUCUUGUGGAAAAGAUUAAAAAGGUAAACAUUUCCUUGCACUUACAGAGAGAGACUAUUUAUAUAAGUUAUGCAUGGACAUACAGUAUAGUUUGGCUGAUGUUGAUAAGGCUCGCGUGAAACUAAAUGGUAGCAUCUGUUAAGUUCUUGUCGUUUCAGCAGGAAUGGCACACAAUGGGGAAUAUGCAAUGUUUUAUUAUAGAAACUAAAAGUUAGCCUACAUCAGCUUUAGUAUUGUCAGCCAUACGACUGCAAUAAACUUCAUCACUUUUAAUGUGAGCAAUAACACUGAUUCAAUUAAAAAAAAAAAAAAAACUUUAGUUUGGUUUACUUUUAAUUAAAAGCUUUCAUAGGCUGCUUGCUUGUCUUUAUUUGUGACUUGUGGCCAAUAUAAAUACCUUGUGUGUUUGUGCAUGUUGAAAAAGAUACCAUGACUUGGUGUGGGUUGAUUGAUGGUGGUUGUAGGUUGCCAAUUAUUAGAGCACAUAUAAGGAUGCUGUUAUGUUCUGCUUCAUCCAGCAGACCCCAGCCAGAGGUCAGUGCCUAAAUGUGCGGGUAUCAGCCUCUGCCUAUAUCACUCCAUCUUGAUGUAUGAGUGCUGAGCUACAAAUUAAACGUGCUCCGACCUUUUAGGAGGUACUUGCUCAACAGGACGCCAUUUAGACUAAUUUCUCCAAGAGAUUUAGACAAAAAGCCACUAUGUUGCCUGCAAUUACUUUGUGUACACACAUCUGGAUUUGGGUUUCCAGAUGCAACAAGCCAUCCAAAAAAGGCCUGCUAAAGACAGAUGUGACUGUGAUGUUAGUUUAGAUGUACGGCGGGUACAGAUCCGUAUUGCACCUCGUACAUGACAUAGACUCACGGAUCAACAUCUAGUACAUUUGGAUGGUAAAAACGCUUGUGUUUUAGUUGAUGCUCUAUCAUGCUAGAAAAUCAUUUUCAUUUCAUUUGAAACAACCUUUAGCUUUUCAGAUGUAAUAUAUUGUGGCUCCUCUAUAAAGAGUCUUGUAGUAAUCAUUUUAAUGAAUAAAAAUGUGUACAUAUAAUAUACGAACAUGUCUGAACCAUAGCAACCUUUAUUCAUAAAACUGUAGAGGGCCACAAAGUUUUACAAACUCUAUUACAAAUAUUUAUAACUUUUAU